rnacentral:misc_RNA from 1 species
AAGAGGAAUUGUCGAUGAGACGACCUCCACCCUUGAUUAUGAGUAACUUUGGCAAGACGAUUGGUUGGGGAUGAUUGGAAGAUUGACUGAAAGUAAUUCUGAAAGCAUUCUGAAAGCAUUCGGAAAGCAUUCGGAAAGGAAUCAGUUGAACGAUGAUUAAUCCCCAAUUGACCGUUGGCGUUUGCGAGCGAGAGCUUGCCAAAGAUCAAAACUCUGUAUAAUUGAAGUCUGAAUAGUAUAUUGAAAUAAACA